AAUAGAUACCCUGGUAGUCCACGCCGUAAACGAUGAGUGCUAAGUGUUGGGGGGUUUCCGCCCCUCAGUGCUGCAGCUAACGCAUUAAGCACUCCGCCUGGGGAGUACGGUCGCAAGACUGAAACUCAAAGGAAUUGACGGGGGCCCGCACAAGCGGUGGAGCAUGUGGUUUAAUUCGAAGCAACGCGAAGAACCUUACCAGGUCUUGACAUCCCGGUGACCACUAUGGAGACAUAGUUUCCCCUUCGGGGGCAACGGUGACAGGUGGUGCAUGGUUGUCGUCAGCUCGUGUCGUGAGAUGUUGGGUUAAGUCCCGCAACGAGCGCAACCCUUAUUCUUAGUUGCCAUCAUUCAGUUGGGCACUCUAAGGAGACUGCCGGUGAUAAACCGGAGGAAGGUGGGGAUGACGUCAAAUCAUCAUGCCCCUUAUGACCUGGGCUACACACGUGCUACAAUGGACGGUAUAAACGGUUGCCAACCCGCGAGGGGAGCUAAUCCGAUAAAACCGUUNUCAGUUCGGAUUGUAGGCUGCAACUCGCCUAC
rnacentral:rRNA from 1 species